AGGGCGAACGCUGGCGGCAGGCUUAACACAUGCAAGUCGAGCGCCGUAGCAAUACGGAGCGGCAGACGGGUGAGUAACACGUGGGAACGUACCUUUUGGUUCGGAACAACCCAGGGAAACUUGGGCUAAUACCGGAUAAGUCCGUAAGGAGAAAGAUUUAUCGCCAAAAGAUCGGCCCGCGUCUGAUUAGCUAGUUGGUGAGGUAACGGCUCACCAAGGCGACGAUCAGUAGCUGGUCCGAGAGGAUGAUCAGCCACAUUGGGACUGAGACACGGCCCAAACUCCUACGGGAGGCAGCAGUGGGGAAUAUUGGACAAUGGGCGCAAGCCUGAUCCAGCCAUGCCGCGUGAGUAAUGAAGGCCCUAGGGUUGUAAAGCUCUUUCGGCGGGAAGAUAAUGACGGUACCCGCGAAGAACGAAGCCCCGACUAACUUCGUGCCAGCAGCCGC
rnacentral:rRNA from 1 species